rnacentral:misc_RNA from 1 species
GACGCUGUCCCGGCUUCCGUUCCAGCAGCGACUCUUUCCUCCGAGUUCUUCGAUCACAUUCGCCAUCAAGUGUACGGGGACUUGAAAAAAGUGGACAAAGUCGUGGUUUCAGUGAGAACUGAGGAUAAGGCUCAGCCAGUUCUUGUGAAUCGGAAUGUGUCCACAUCAUUUCACUGUUUUAAUCAUAUCUCCAAGCACUUCGCCGACGACGCCGUACUCGUGGAAGUUCAUCCAUCCGUUGGCGGCGCCUACUUCAGCAGCGUCAAUCAACCACUUCAAGAUCAAGCCGAGAUUCGAAAAAUUGGAUUCGAUUCUGCUGAGGACGUGAAUUUAGUGAAUGAUGCCUACUGGAGAUCUUGUUCGCUAGUUACUGCUGCAUUCCUGAAAGAAGCUCUGGACGUGGACGUGGAUUUCAGAUUCCCACGUGGAAAUAUUGAAAAUGGAUAUUUUUCGGUGGAUGUGAAGGGAUUGAAUGGGAACGUUUUCACCUUGGACGAACUUAACACGAUAAAUCGAUUCGGUAAAUCGUACAUCCGCGAAGAGAAGCAAUUCGAGGUGAUCGCAGUGCCAACGAGUGUAGCAGAAGCAUCAGGAAUCCACGGCGAUCAUCUAGUACGAAUCGGUCGCCAAGUGUUCUCCACAGAUGGCCCAUGCAUCAAUUCGACUCGUCAAAUCGGCCGCUUCACGAUUUUCCGAUCAAAAUCAUCUGGCAAGAGUGUGAUCGUCGGCGGAGUGUCGAUUCCCAUGAAACAGCCGACUUCAUCAUACUCCUGGAGCCUCGUCGCCAAGAAUGCAGUGCAGAAAUUUAGUAAAAAUGCAUGAGAAUUGAAAUUCAAUAGUUUUUUAUAGCUAGUUUCUGAUUGUUGUUUUUCUUUUUUGUUACUUUUUUCUGUUCAUUAAAAGAACAAAAAUUAUAAAGCUCUAAAUAAUUUA